rnacentral:rRNA from 1 species
CACGUAGGGCGCAAGCGUUGUCCGGAAUUAUUGGGCGUAAAGGGCUCGUAGGCGGCGUGUCGCGUCGGGAGUGAAAGCCCGUUGCUUUAACGGCGGGUUGGCUUUCGGUACGGGCAUGCUGGAGUGCGGCAGGGGGAGACUGGAAUUCCUGGUGUAGCGGUGGAAUGCGCAGAUAUCAGGAGGAACACCGGUGGCGAAGGCGGGUCUCUGGGGCCGUUACUGACGCUGAGGAGCGAAAGCGUGGGGAGCGAACAGG